rnacentral:tRNA from 1 species
GGAAUGGUAGUUCCGUGGUAGAACUCUUGCCUUUCUGGCCGGAGACCCAGGUUCAAUUUCUGGCCAAUGCA